CAUCUUGGCUGCGGGUAUCCACCUCCCAGAGUCUGGUCUGGGCUGGGAGGUGGAUUGAGAUUAUACCGCCUGAACCUGAUCAGCGUUGACACCUGCGUAGGGAAGCCUCCCCCAGUGUCA
rnacentral:ncRNA from 1 species